ensembl:lncRNA
GGCCUCCGGAGCUCCCGGCCCCCAGCCAGGGAACACUUUGUGAGAGCAUUUGAACGGCCUCAGCCCAGAGCCCAAAACACGCCAUGGCCUGGGGGGCCUGCACACCGCAGCCAGACGGAACAGCUCCCUCCAGCACCAGGGAUAACACCCUGUCCAGGUUUUGGUGCCACUUGUUCACCGGAUGUUCCAGACACACAGGGAGAAGGGAAGGAUGCCGGGAAGCCCCGGGGAUGCGUCUCCCCUUACGCAGUGAGCAACAGGAACAGGUGGCCAGAACCGAGCGCUGCCACCCCUCCACCUGCCUGACUGGCUCCCCUAUCUGUCAGGGCUGGGACCUGGGACCGGCACCUCCAAGCCAGCAGCUGCUGCAGGCCGGGCAGGCGAGAGAACAUGAAAGGAAGGUUUGGGAGCAACUUGGCUACUGCUACAAAGUGGGGAGGAAAGGAAGCCAAAGAUGAAAGGGGAACAUUGGGAAACCGAAAGAGAUGACCUCAGGCAGAGGGAAAGGCCUGACUGUGGGAGGAGCAGCCCUGCAGAGCCUGGUCCAGCGGCAGGAACCGGACGGCGGCGGCGGGACCGCGUGCGCGCGCGAGGAACACCUGUGUGCUCAGGUGACACGGCUUGUUGCGCAACCCACAAGAACAGACAGCGCGCUCCUGUUCUCCUUCGGAAGAGAGCCAGGGGAUCCACGGCCCUGCCUGCUGUGCCAUCCACAUGAGGUGCGUCUUCAGACCGUACAAGACGGGGAGCAGCUUCCACUGUGGCCAUUACAGAAAGAUCUCCAACAAGCAUGCGACCUUGAAUGGACAAGUGUCCCAGAGCAGUGGCUGGGGCUGGGGCAUGUGUGGAAAGAGGCUUUCUCUACUGUGACUUCCAUGGGAAAAGUCCCAUGUCACAAUCUGGAAUCGGUCACUGCCCCCCCCCCCCCCCCCGCCGUGUCAUUAUCAAAAGCUACAGGCCUGGCCCAGAAGCUGCUGUGUGCAGCAUGAAGCCUUCCCUGGCCUCUUGUCCCAGAAGCACCUCCUACACUUGCUUUGCCUGGGUUGUUUCGUGCCUGCAACUUCCUCCUCUAGCUAAACUGUAAAUGGCUCCCGGGGGUGGGGGGGGCAAUGCCCCAUUUGUCUUUCCCCUCACUCGGUGUGUUGGAUGUAAUGAGGACGCGGCAGGGUGCGAAAUCCCCCUGAAGAAGGAUUUGAUGAGCACAGUUCCCAGGGAGUCCUUGAACUUGAGUUGAGAAGGAUCUCCCAAGGAGAAGCCAAGGACCAAGUCAGCCAAGGGAACACAUGACAGAUGCGGUUGCAUGUGCCCAGCCCUGUUCUAGGCACUGUGGGGAAACAGAAGGAAAAUGGUGUACAACUUUCGUUUCAAAGAGACAGAGGCUCCUGAAAGAAGCAAGAACAAGGAUGGAACAGUACAUUUCCGGAAAUAACUGUCGGGUUGCAUGUAGGAAUGUAACGAAAAGUCUUCCCCUGUCCCUUUCUGUCUCUGGGUAUCUCAUCCAUAAAGCAGAUCUAAGGGUUCCCGUUCCUCUUCCUUGUUGCCGUGAGCUGGCUCUCACCCCUCUCUCACUUCUGCAUUACUAUCAUGGCCUCCAGGCCUGCCUCCACCUCUGUCCACCUCUCUACCUGCCAGGCACACGCGUGUGGGGCCUUCCCUUACCGUGGGUCCAUUGUCAACACCUCCCUUCUCUAUACAACAGAUCAUUCUCAUAAACAAUCAUGGAUAACCAGUAAUGAUGUUUAUUUUCUUGGUAUGUUCGUUCAAUUCAAAACGAACAGUGUUUUUUAAAAAAAUGAAUAAAUUUAGGCCGGCGCCAUGGCUCA